UACGAAGGGGGCUAGCGUUGCUCGGAAUCACUGGGCGUAAAGGGUGCGUAGGCGGGUCUUUAAGUCAGGGGUGAAAUCCUGGAGCUCAACUCCAGAACUGCCUUUGAUACUGAGGAUCUUGAGUUCGGGAGAGGUGAGUGGAACUGCGAGUGUAGAGGUGAAAAUUCGUAGAUAUUCGCAAGAACACCAGUGGCGAAGGCGAGCUCACCUGGCCC
rnacentral:rRNA from 1 species